AUGCUUUUGAAGGUGCCAACGGUGCAUUUCCAAUGUGGAGGACCAACUAUAAGUACUUUAAUUUCUGCCUUCUUUUUUGGUGUUUGUCGUUGCCCUUUCUUUUUAUUUCUUAUUUCCUCUAUAUACAUUUUUCUUCAUAUUAUUCUUUUAUUAUUCUUCCUUUUUGUAGCUAGACUUUCCUUUAACCAUUUGAAAGAAUGGGUUUUCUUUCAUCGCUUCUUUGAAGGAAAGACCCUUCUUUCAUUGAUUCAGCUUUUGAUGAGCAUUCUUAAUUUCACUUGCAGAUUCAUGAUCCGCAAGUACUUCCUCCGUAAAGAAAUAUAA
rnacentral:rRNA from 1 species